CUUCUACCUCUCAAGCGCUGGAAUUACAGGCAUGUGUUAACAUGCCCAGCUCCAGCUCAGCCCUUUUGAAGCUCUUCACAGUAGGCUCUUCCUUUAUGCAGAUCUGUCUACAUCUCCAGCGGUGAUCAAGUCACAGGCCCUGCCACCAUGGGUUCCUCUGCCUAGGGUUAAAAUUGUCCUACCCACAGAAGCUCAAGCACCCUGUUACUGUUUAUUAUACAGGACUCAACUCACUUCAAGAAUUUAUCACAGCAAGGUGUUGGUGGCGCAUGCCUUUGAUCCCAGCACAUGGGAGGCAGAGGUCCUGCGUUCAAUUCCCAGCAACCACAAGGUGGCUCACAACCAUCUGUAAUGAGAUCUGGUGCCCUCUCCUGGCCCGCAGGCAACAUGCAGACAGAACACUGUACACAUAAUAAAUCAUAAUAAAUAAAUAAAUCUUUAAAAAAAUAAAAUGUUUUAAUGACUUAGUCUUUUCUUUACAUGAGGCUGUCUGUUCCUGGCAGCACCAAUCUGCUUCUAAAGAUGAUGAUGG
rnacentral:lncRNA from 1 species